GGAUAGGAUCUGACGCUGAGGCAUGAGAUAGUGCAUUACACCAAAGAGACCCUUCUUCAUCUCCCCGGCAUACUGUGUGCCGAGGAUAACCAUUUCCCUUCUAGCAAGAUUAAGAUCUAUGCUGGUGGAUGAAGUCAUGUAAUGUGUGUAACGGUUACACGGGAACUGUCCUGCGUUGUAUAUUGUGAAGUCCGGAGUACCAAAGUCCUCCAGUUCUUCAGG
rnacentral:misc_RNA from 1 species